UUUAAAUGUUCAACUAAAUAAUAUUUAGGUGAAACUAUACGCUUUCUUUAAAAUUCCCAUGAUUUUAAUUUAAACAUGCCAUUUACCAAACAACAUUGAUCACAACAUUUAUCAAUAUUUACAAAACAUAAUUUUUCUUUCUGAUGCUGGGAUGGUUGUGAAUGGUAGGAUUCCAGGGUGCACGUUCAAACUAAAACGUUUGUGUCAUUAACAUCUACAAGCACGAGCCCUUUUGCUGCCACAACUUCUGAAACACCAAAAAUAGCUACUAAACACAGUACUGCACUCUUGCCAAUAACCUCAUCUAUAACCUCACAACGACUGUUGUGCCAUCAACAUCUCAGGCCCCUGAGACAACAACAGUAACUCAACUAGUAACAUCUUAUACAGUUACUGAAGUACAUACUGAAGUUGUGACGACAAAGCAAUCAAUAAGCACAAACCCUGCUGGAGAAACAACAACAUCUCAAAAGCAAGUAACAACAACUGAAAAAAGCACUGCAGUUUUACCAACAACUUUGUCUACCUCGUCAUCCUCAGUUCAAACAACAACUUUUGUGCCAUCAACAUCUACAAACACAAGCGCUAGUUUAGCUGCAACAUCUGAAAUGCCAACAACAACUGUACAAAGCACUAAGCUUUGGUCAACCACCUCAUAUAUGGUUCCAACAAUGACUGUUGCAUCAACUUGAGGCAACAACUACUGGAGCUGAAAAGCAAGUAAUAACAACUGAGAAAAUCACUAAACUUUUGCCAACAACCUCAACUAGGGGUCAAAAAACUACUAUUUUACUACCUACCUCAAUGAACGUAUCCCCUUUUGCAUUAACAUCUAUAAGCACAAGCCCUAAUGCAGCCACAACAACUGGCAUGCCAACAACCCAAAAGAGCACUAAGCUUUUGCCAAAAAACACAUUUACAGUUCAAACAACAACUGUUGUGCCAUCUACAAAAACAAGCAUUCUUGCUACCACAACAUAUGAAGUUCCAGCAACUACUCAACAAAACACUACACUUUUGCCAACAAUCUCAUCUACAGUUCUAACAACAACGUUUGUGCCAUUAAGAUCUACAACACUUGAGAUAAGUACAUCUGAACAAGUCAAAACCACUGGAAGUACUGAAACUGGAAUAACAAAGUAUUCAACAACCACAAGCCCUUAUGCAGAGAAAACAACUGAAAAGCCAACAGUAACUCAAAGCAAUAUGCCUUUAAAAGUCUCAGAUACCAUUCUAACAACUCCUACUGAACUAUCAACAUCCAUGAGUCCUAAUAUAUAAAUUUGACGCAACCAUUUACUGCCACUAGACUUGCCACUACAUCAACUGCACCAACUGCACCUGCGACAAUGCAAUCGACAGAUAUAAGCAACACUUCAACAACUGAAACGUCAACAAGAACUCAUCAACCCACAGAUAUUUAUGUAAAACCAUCAAGCAUCAGUCCAACAAAUACUAAUAGGACACCAGCCCUUAAAACAACCAAGGCAUAUGCAACAAGUGCAGUUUUAAAAACUGCUAAAUCAACAAUGAGUACUCCAAAAACAACAACUGGAAAGCUAACAACUAAACCAAGCUUUGUGCAUUUGACCACAAAGUCAAGAGAAACACCAACAAAAAACACUCUAGCAUCUCUAAAUCCUGCCACAGAGAAAGAAGGUUUACAUUAUCUAAAAUUUCGAAUAGUGAGGACAUUUGUUCAAGAUUACAAUAACAAAACUUCUUCUGCUUAUAAAGCACUGGAAAGAAAUGUAACAACUGAGGUAAAUCACUAACUUUUAUAAUUUGAAGCAAACAUUAUAUGUGAAAAUCCAAAUGCAAAUAAAUGGUAUGAACUUUUCAUCCUUUAAUCAUUAUAGCAAAUUAUCUGUAUUGUUCCUUGUUCUUUUCUUUUCUAGCUUAAUCGGGGAUACACAUUAAAAUACCCAUUUACAUUUAUGAGAUCGAUCAUCAUCAUUUUUUGGCCUGGCUCUGUGGGGGUAACAUCUCAGCUAAUUUUUCAAAACCAGAGUGUGGUUCCCAACACAACAGAUAUAGUGGAUUCCCUAAAACAAGUGCUUAAUGAUUCUAUCAUCUUCUUGAAUGUCAUCACAUCAAGUAUUUCUGCUGAUCCACGAAAUUUCACCACAUCAACCGUUACUCCGAUCAUCACAACAGGAGCAACAACAACGGCAAGCAGUCAGUUUGCUACAGCUAUAUCAUCUGGCAGUGCAGUGGCAAGGAGCAGACUCACUGAAGUCCUCACUUU